AUCGCGCGGGAAACUUGUGCUAAUCUCUAAUGUGCCCUUCGGGGGAUGAUUUAUCGCCAUUAGAACGGCCCGACCUCUGAUUAACUAGUUGGUGAAGUAAAGGCUCACCAAGGCGACGAUCAAAAGCUGGUCUGACAGGAUGAUUGCCACUUUGGGACUGAAACACGGCCCACACUCCUACGGAAGGCCGCAGUGGACAAUCUUGCGCAAUGGGCGAGGGCCUGAUUGGACCAUGCCGCGUGAAUGAUGAAGGUCUUGCCAUUGUAAAAUUCUUUCGCCGUCGACGAUAAUGACGCUUCCCGGAGAACAAGCCCCUUCUAACUUCUUGCCAGGGCCGCGGUAAUACCAAGGGGGCUAGCGUUGCUCGGAAUUACUGGGCGUAAAGGGAGCGUACGCGGACAUUUAAGCGUUGGGUGAAAUCCCGGGGCUCAACCUCGGAAUUGCCUUUGAUACUGGGUGUCUUGAAAUCCACAGACUCUGUGGAACUCCGAGUGUGAGGUGAAAUUCUUAAAUAUUCGGAAGAACACAUGUGGCGAAGGCGACAUACUGGCUCAUUACUGACGCUGAGAGCUCCACCGCGUGGGGAGCAAACAGGAUUAGAUACCCUGUGUAGUCCACGCCGUAAACGAUGAUUGCUAAUUGUCGAUGAUGCAUGCAUUUCGGU
rnacentral:rRNA from 1 species